rnacentral:rRNA from 1 species
UACAUGUGGGGCAAGCGUUGUUCGGAAUUACUGGGCGUAAAGGGCGCGUAGGCGGUGCUCUAAGUCGGAUGUGAAAACUCUGGGCUCAACCCAGAGCCUGCAUCCGAAACUGGAGUGCUAGAGUUCUGGAGGGGGUAGCGGAAUUCCUGGUGUAGCGGUGAAAUGCGCAGAUAUCAGGAGGAACACCGGUGGCGAAGGCGGAUCUCUGGGCCUUACCUGACGCUCAGGUGCGAAAGCUAGGGGAGCAAACAGG